rnacentral:rRNA from 1 species
UGAUUUCACACUGCCGAGAAAAGCCUCUAGAUAGAAAAUAGGUGCCCGUACCGCAAACCGACACAGGUAGUCAAGAUGAGAAUUCUAAGGUGAGCGAGCGAACUCUCGUUAAGGAACUCGGCAAAAUGACCCCGUAACUUCGGGAGAAGGGGUGCUCUUUAGGGUUAACGCCCAGAAGAGCCGCAGUGAAUAGGCCCAAGCGACUGUUUAUCAAAAACACAGGUCUCUGCUAAACCGUAAGGUGAUGUAUAGGGGCUGACGCCUGCCCGGUGCUGGAAGGUUAAGAGGAGUGGUUAGCUUCUGCGAAGCUACGAAUCGAAGCCCCAGUAAACGGCGGCCGUAACUAUAACGGUCCUAAGGUAGCGAAAUUCCUUGUCGGGUAAGUUCCGACCCGCACGAAAGGCGUAACGAUUUGGGCACUGUCUCAACGAGAGACUCGGUGAAAUCAUAGUACCUGUGAAGAUGCAGGUUACCCGCGACAGGACGGAAAGACCCCGUGGAGCUUUACUGUAGCCUGAUAUUGAAAUUCGGCACAGCUUGUACAGGAUAGGUAGGAGCCUUUGAAACGUGAGCGCUAGCUUACGUGGAGGCGCUGGUGGGAUACUACCCUAGCUGUGUUGGCUUUCUAACCCGCACCACUUAUCGUGGUGGGAGACAGUGUCAGGCGGGCAGUUUGACUGGGGCGGUCGCCUCCUAAAAGGUAACGGAGGCGCUCAAAGGUUCCCUCAGAAUGGUUGGAAAUCAUUCAUAGAGUGUAAAGGCAUAAGGGAGCUUGACUGCGAGACCUACAAGUCGAGCAGGGUCGAAAGACGGACUUAGUGAUCCGGUGGUUCCGCAUGGAAGGGCCAUCGCUCAACGGAUAAAAGCUACCCCGGGGAUAACAGGCUUAUCUCCCCCAAGAGUUCACAUCGACGGGGAGGUUUGGCACCUCGAUGUCGGCUCAUCGCAUCCUGGGGCUGUAGUCGGUCCCAAGGGUUGGGCUGUUCGCCCAUUAAAGCGGUACGCGAGCUGGGUUCAGAACGUCGUGAGACAGUUCGGUCCCUAUCCGUCGUGGGCGUAGGAAAUUUGAGAGGAGCUGUCCUUAGUACGAGAGGACCGGGAUGGACAUACCUCUGGUGUACCAGUUGUCGUGCCAACGGCAUAGCUGGGUAGCUAUGUGUGGACGGGAUAAGUGCUGAAAGCAUCUAAGCAUGAAGCCCCCCUCAAGAUGAGAUUUCCCAACUUCGGUUAUAAGAUCCCU